AGACUCUCUGUGAGGGUUUUUUGUGGAUGGAAGUAUGUCUGCGUGUUUGAAAAAGAUGCAUAUAAUCCCAUGUGCGAUUGGGAGGCGGGAGAGGUGAGCCGGUGAUACCAACCCGGCACAAUAGAGAAGAGAGGGAAAGAGCCAUGCAUCAUUGGAGAUGUCAAAGCAGCAGAAAACUCAUAAAGCCAACACAAUGUUAUCCGACAUUUCUACACGGAACAGGAUGAAGGACUGCAGAGAGGAGCCCAACAGGUGCCGUCCAAAUGAACCGAUGAGUCCAAAGCAAAUCAACCUGUGCACAACAAUUAGAGAGCACAGAGACCUGGUUCAGGACAACAAAUGGAUUUACGAAGAUGCAUAAGGGACAAACAGGGAGCUCCCAGAACGCAGGCGUGUGGAAUGACAGCUCCCUGAUGGACGUGGAAGAUCGUCUCAGUUUGGCCAACAAGCAGCAGGAGACUAAAGUUGUCUCUCUCCAGACUGUCUGUUGCUUUAUUUCUUUAUAUGUUACUUUAUGUGUUACAAGCAAAAGCAUGAAUGUUUCAGGGUUUAAGAGAAAAAACAUAUAUUUUACACAAAUCCCAUGAUGUAACAUGACUGAAAUGAAUGAACAUCAAAACUGUGUCAGCAGUAAUAUCAGAGCUGACAUGCACCGGCUUCCACCGCUCCUUCCUUACCCAGGUAAGGUGUGUGUGUGUGUGUGUUCGCCCAUCCAUCCCUCCAUCAGGGGUCUUGACAAGGUACAUGUAUCAUUUAGCCCUGUGCUGUCUGGCCUUUCCCAUAAGCCACUGCUGCCUGGAAGAUUAAUGAGUGUCUUCAUCCCACACUUAAAGACUGUUAAUAGGUGGACCUGAGGACAGACAAACCUCUCUCACAAAACAGACUUUUACUUUUUAAAUUCCAUUUAUUCACCUAACUUUGUAAAGUAGAACAAUGUUUUACCAUGAUAAAGGUUUUGUUUGUUUAUUGACACCAGACAUAUAUAUAUAUACAUAUACUGUAUAAUAUAUAUAUAGCAUUUGUUCAACUUUACGUGUGUUUCAAGCUUUCGAUGGUUUCUAGCUCAUCCGUCCUGUCACAUGGAGCUCAAAGAAAAGGUCAUUCUGAUUUUCUUUCCAGUCACCGAGUAAACACAUCAGUGCAUCUAUUAGACAUCUGUGGGCCACAUCUGUUGAGCAGAUUGACCUCAGAUGACGAUGAAGAACAAAUUAAAGUAUGUUUAAUUUAUUUAUUUCCAGUCAAACUUGAGAACAUGUUUGAGUUUGAAAUCAAAGGGAAAGUUGUUUGAUUUCUUGGUAAUUUAUUAGUGACUGAGUAACAUAGAAAAUCAAUGUCUGUGAAGAAUUACAAAUAACAUUUCUAAAAAUUUUAAAUGAUUAAAAUAGCUUAAAACGAAAUUUACCAAAUCCUCUAAUAUUUCUUUUAAUCUUGUCAUUGCCUGAUGGAUAAAGGGUCAAUCUCCCUCAUCCACCACUGUCGUAAGUACACAGAAACUUUGAGUUCACUACGAUGACUGAACCAGACUGCUGAGAUAUGUUUGGGACUGUGUUGCAGGUGAACAAAAGGUGAAGCGUCAGAGUACAACCAGUUCUGGAAUAUUGCAAUAAAUAACAAUGUCCUCUCAGUCUUUGGGCAGUAAUUAGAUCAAUUAAAGCUUAUUAGCCACUUCCUCUAUUAUGAGUGUGCGUGCAAUGACUUCAUUAAAUCUCCCGUGAGGAAUUCAUGAAGGGAGAACUGGCACUUAAUGGUUGAAUGGGGGACCUGAGUGUGUUUAUAAUGCCGACGCUC